CGAAGGGUAAACUUUGGGCUCCUGUCUGGUAGGUGGUGGUGUUCACUCUGAAAAUUCCUAUGUCUGGUGACAAAAUUACAGGUGGGGACCAGAAGUGGUUUCUGAGCAUGUGGUUAGAUUUCGUGGGAAGAGGAGGAGAAGGAAGGUCAAAGACCCUGGAGGAUGUGGCAGCAGCCAAGCAACAUGAAGGCUGUCACUGCUCCUGAAACGUCCUGUUUGGAACCACGGAGCCUGUCCCUGCCUGACAGCCCCCCACGCCAGUUCCAGACGUGCCAGAUGGCCUUGCUGACCUGCAUCCACUCAGUUGGAGCAGAAUGAGUCCUGUGUUGGCUUUGGGGUCUGGAGGCUGGGAAGUCCAAGGUCAAGGUGCUGAUCACUUCCGUUCCUGCUGAGGGCCCUGCGCUUGGCUUAUGUACAGCUACCUUCUCGUCUGUGUGCUCAUUAGCAGAGAGAAAGCUCCAGUGUCUCCUCUUCUUACAAUGACACUAAUCACAUCAUGGAGGCCCCAUCCUCAUGACCUCAUCUAAACCUAAUUACCUCUCAAAGUCCCCACUACCGAACACCAUUAUACUAGGGUUAGGGCUCUGACAUACACAUUUUGGGUGAAAACAAACAUUCUGUCCCUGACACACAUUUAUUAGGAAAAGAAACUCUCCUUAGUCUCACUCAAGGUCCAGACUUCCUCUUGGAAGAAGAGAUACUUGUUAAGGCUGUGCACUGGGUUAAGUUCUGACCUCCUACUUCCCCAAGGGCAACCCGCCAUAUUGGAGUUUUUGAAGCAGGCUCUUUCAUAUCCUUGGUUGAGACUGGGGCUCGUGGCAGAUUGUCCUGCUGCUGUGAGACUAUAUUAGUGUCAGAUUUCUUACCUUAGCCCCAACUGGACAAGACUUGUAAGCUUCCCUCUGGACAUCAGUCUUGACAAAAUUCAGUUCAGUUCACUUCAGUUCAGUCGCUCAGUCGUGUCCAACUCUUUGCGACCCCAUGAAUCGCAGCACACCAGGCCUCCC
ensembl:lncRNA